rnacentral:miRNA from 1 species
UACCUCAUCGACCGGAAGGAAUCCCUUCCGGUCGAUGAGGUAAAACACCCUCAUCGACCGGAAGGAAUCCCUUCCGGUUGAUGAGGUU